CCUACGGGGGGCAGCAGUGAGGAAUAUUGGUCAAUGGGCGAGAGCCUGAACCAGCCAAGUCGCGUGAAGGAUGACGGCCCUACGGGUUGUAAACUUCUUUUGUCAGGGAGCAAUUGGGUCCACGCGUGGGCUUAGCGAGAGUACCUGAAGAAAAAGCAUCGGCUAACUCCGUGCCAGCAGCCGCGGUAAUACGGAGGAUGCGAGCGUUAUCCGGAUUUAUUGGGUUUAAAGGGUGCGUAGGCGGUCCGUUAAGUCAGCGGUAAAAUUGCGGGGCUCAACCCCGUCGAUCCGUUGCAACUAGCAGA
rnacentral:rRNA from 1 species